CGCGUAGGCGGACUUUCAAGUCAGGUGUGAAAUCUAUGGGCUUAACUCAUAGCUUGCAUUUGAUACUGUUGGUCUUGAGUACAGGAGAGGAAAGCGGAAUUCCAGGUGUAGCGGUGAAAUGCGUAGAUAUCUGGAAGAACACCAGUAGCGAAGGCGGCUUUCUGGACUGAUACUGACGCUAAAGCGCGAAGGCUUGGGUAGCAAACA
rnacentral:rRNA from 1 species